rnacentral:tRNA from 1 species
GCCCUGGUAGCUUAGUAUAAAAGCAUCGGUCUUGUAAUCCGAAGAUCGGAGGUUAAAUCCCUCCCCAGUGCC